rnacentral:lncRNA from 1 species
CUGAGGCUCCUGUUUGUGACAUGGGCUACUCUUUUGAGCUCUAAGAGAAAGAGUCAGGUUUCCAUUACCCAGCCCAUUUCAGACCUGUCUUUCCUCUGCUCCCAAUUCCUAACAGAACUGGAAACCAUGUAGGGAUUGUAGAGGCUAGCAAUCCACAAUGCUCAGCUGAUUAAAGGUUAAAUACCAAAGUUCCCAGAGGAAAACGGUGCUCAGGAGCUUCUGCCUCGGAUGAUGCUGCCCUUAAUGCUCAGCUGAUUACAGACUAAACACAAAAGUUCCCAGAGGAAAAUGGUGGACUUGGGAGCUGCUGCCUCAGGAGGAUCUUGAGUGUUAGUGGUUCCUCCCUAUCAGAUGUACCUAAUGCCCAGGAUUUAAUAAAGGAUCAUUCCCAUUCCACCACCAUCUCCAAACAAAUGUUACUUCUUUCUGUUUGCCAGAUCUUGUUUCUGUCCUUCUUCACGACCAAACUCAAAACUCACUGAACCUUACUUUCCCGGAUGCUGCAGCCCUCAGCUAUGGGCAGAGG